ACUGACGCUAAGGCGCGAAAGCGUGGGGAGCAAACAGGAUUAGAUACCCUGGUAGUCCACGCCCUAAACGAUGUACACUAGUUGUUGGGAUGCUAGUCAUCUCAGUAAUGCAGCUAACGCAUUAAGUGUACCGCCUGGGGAGUACGGUCGCAAGAUUAAAACUCAAAGGAAUAGACGGGGACCCGCACAAGCGGUGGAGCAUGUGGUUUAAUUCGAAGAUACGCGAAGAACCUUACCUGGGCUUGAUAUCCUAAGAACCUUAUAGAGAUAUGAGGGUGCUAGCUUGCUAGAACUUAGAGACAGGUGCUGCACGGCUGUCGUCAGCUCGUGUCGUGAGAUGUUGGGUUAAGUCCCGCAACGAGCGCAACCCACGUAUUUAGUUGCUAACGGUUCGGCCGAGCACUCUAAAUAGACUGCCUUCGUAAGGAGGAGGAAGGUGUGGACGACGUCAAGUCAUCAUGGCCCUUAUGCCCAGGGCGACACACGUGCUACAAUGGCAUAUACAAUGAGACGCAAUACCGCGAGGUGGAGCAAAUCUAUAAAAUAUGUCCCAGUUCGGAUUGUUCUCUGCAACUCGAGAGCAUGAAGCCGGAAUCGCUAGUAAUCGUAGAUCAGCCAUGCUACGGUGAAUACGUUCCCGGGUCUUGUACUCACCGCCCGUCACACCAUGGGAGUUGAUUUCACUCGAAGCCGGAAUACUAAACUAGUUACCGUCCACAGUGGAAUCAGCGACUGGGGUGAAGUCGUAACAAGGUAACCGUAGGAGAACCUGCGGUUGGAUCACCUCCUUUCUA
rnacentral:rRNA from 1 species